rnacentral:rRNA from 1 species
GACGAACGCUGGCGGCGUGCUUAACACAUGCAAGUCGAACGGAAAGGCCCUUCGGGGUACUCGAGUGGCGAACGGGUGAGUAACACGUGGGUGAUCUGCCCUGCCCUUUGGGAUAAGCCUGGGAAACUGGGUCUAAUACCGAAUAGGACCGCGCGCUUCAUGGUGUGUGGUGGAAAGCUUUUGCGGUGUGGGAUGGGCCCGCGGCCUAUCAGCUUGUUGGUGGGGUAAUGGCCUACCAAGGCGACGACGGGUAGCCGGCCUGAGAGGGUGACCGGCCACACUGGGACUGAGAUACGGCCCAGACUCCUACGGGAGGCAGCAGUGGGGAAUAUUGCACAAUGGGCGCAAGCCUGAUGCAGCGACGCCGCGUGAGGGAUGACGGCCUUCGGGUUGUAAACCUCUUUCACCAGGGACGAAGCGCAAGUGACGGUACCUGGAGAAGAAGCACCGGCCAACUACGUG